AGGAUAAACGCUGGCGGCGUGCAUGAGACAUGCAAGUCAAACGGACGAUCAGGGCUUGCUCUGGUCGUUAGUGGCGGACGGCUGAGUAACGCGUGGGUGACCUGCCCCGAAGUGGGGAAUAACUGCCCGAAAGGGUGGCUAAUACCGCAUGUGGUGGUGCGUUCAUUCGCACCAGUAAAGCCGCAAGGCGCUUCGGGAGGGGCCUGCGUCCGAUUAGCUCGUUGGUGGGGUAACGGCUCACCAAGGCGACGAUCGGUAGGUGGUCUGAGAGGACGAUCAGCCACACUGGGAUUGAGAACGGCCCAGACUCCUACGGGGGCAGCAGUGAGGAAUUUUCGUCAAUGGGGGCAACCCUGAACGAGCAACGCCGCGUGCAGGAAGAAGGUUUUCGGAUCGUAAACUGCUUUUCUCGGGGAAGAGAACGGACGGUACCCGAGGAAUCAGCCCCGGCUAACUACGUGCCAGCAGCCGC
rnacentral:rRNA from 1 species